rnacentral:ncRNA from 1 species
UUUGCCAUACUGAUCUACUAAUUGCUUGUACUGCCGUUUAUUGCGAGCGGUACCAAAUCGAGGCAAAUUCUGAAUACUAGAUAUGACCCCAAAAUAACAAGGGUCAAGUUUGGCCAGUGAGACGAUGGGGGAUAAGCUUUAUCGUCGAGAGGGAAACAACCUGGAUAACCAGCUAAGGCCCCUAAAUGACCGCUCGUGAUAAAGGACGUGGGGGUGCAAAGACAACCAUGAGGUUUGCCUAGAAGCAGCCACCCUUUAAAGAGUGCGUAAUAGCUCACGGAUCGAGCGCCCUUGUGCUGAAGAUGAACGGGGCUAAGCGAUCUGCUGAAGCUGUGGAAUGUCAAAAUGCAUCGGUAGGGAACGUUCCGCCUUAGAAGGAAGCAACCGCGAAAGCAAGGGUCGACGAAGCAGAAGCG